GCAGGCGCUGGAAACAAAAGGGAGAGACAAAAAAAUAAAGUCAUUCAAUGGGAAUAUUAAUUGCUGCUCUUGUGGAUUUUACAAAACACACAAACUGUUUUCUUUUUCUUUCUUUAAAAAAAAAUGUGGAUUGGCACGUGUCCCUUUUGCAUGGAAUAUACAAGUAGUGUGGGAUUUACAGCCCAGUUACGGGACUCAGGAUUAGCUGCGCUGGCAUCUUUUGGGCAUAUUCUUCCUUUUAAUGAAUGAGCUUUUGCUGUUAAUGAGGAAUAAUCGUUUGGCUAAUGAGCUUUGAAACAUUAAGAGAAAAGAGGUUUUUUUUUUUCCGUUAAUCGCUCUGGUGCGACUGCAUGGAUGGAUUACAAAAGACAGCAAUAGGAACGCAGUACAAAGGGGGGGAAACCUCUCCUGGAGUGGGAGAAGCACCGAGAUGGGUGAUGUGUCCGUGCAUCUUUCCUUCCUUCUCUCUUUCACUCUCUCUGUCAACUGCUAUGGGUUUCCAUAACUCCGCAAUCAAAGUGGAUGGUCGGGAAGGAUUAUUACAAAGAGAGAAGCCUCCGCUGUUAAUGUCUCCAGUGUUUAAUCAUCAUACAGUAGAAUGGUUUUAUGCAUAUUUCAUUUGCAUAUCAUUAAACUGUGUUAGCGAGGGGCAUUCAGAGCCAGGAGAAGUACAAAGUUGGGGAGAGAGGGAAGAAAAAAAGGUCCCUAUGAUGCUUAUCUUCAAACAGGGACUUGUUCCAUGAUCUGUCUUCUACUUUUGCUAAAAUCAUUAUGACUUGGAAACCUUUGGAGUUGGAUACAACCUUGGAUUCUUCUAAUUCUUGCCGAGCAGUAUAUUUUAAAAAACAGCAGAAAUGUUCCUGCACUAGACAAUUAAAGGAAUAUAAACUCCAGUGGGUUGAAACUAGUAGCUCUUUGGGGAACGCAGUGGCAGAGGCUUCUACAAAUAUCAACACUUAAAAACAUAUAAUAAAGAGCAUCAUAUUAGAAACAAAGAAAAUGAAGACAAGAAAUAUUAACAAGUGGAUUAUAUUUGUUUCUUUUGGGGGGUAAUGAGCUAAAGAGAAUGAAGAAGCCAUCGGUAAUUUAUCCCUUCAUUAAUGAACAGUCACCUUUUUGUAUGUGUUUGUUUUUGUCCUUUCUUUUUGAAGAGGGACGUUAUCACUUUUGAAGUGAUUAGUCAAUUAUUUUGUAGCUCUGAUCUUUUUCCCCUGCACCCGACAGGAAAGAAAGGUGGUGGUUAGGGAAUAUGUGAGUAUGGGGGGGGGGAUUUGGGGAGGGGGGCGAGAAAGAAUACAGUGAGUUCUUUGUAGAUCUUAUACAUGCACAACAUAUUAAUUGUGGGCUUUUAAAGCUCCCUCAAUGGGCUAUUGCAUUCCUGGUAUAACAGUAGCUGGUUAGCCACUGUUGGUGACUCUUCUAGCAUUACUUUAUUUUUAUUCUGUCGCUAUUGUUGCUGUCUUGUUUAGUUUCUCCUCAGUUAAAAAUGAAAAUGUAAUAUCACCCCUUCUUUAUUGAGUCUCUUCUCUAUCUUCAUCUUCACUCCAAUUUCCAAACUGUAAAACAAUGUUGGCUUAAUAUUGAAUCCUGCUGCAUAUUCUAACUGGCAUAACUUGAUUUGGAAAUGAGAUGCUGUUUUAUAUUUAAAUUACUCCUGUUCCCCCCUUAUCCUCCAAAGCUUUGUCUCUGCUAUGAAUAUGCAGAUGAGGCAUGAUGUGAUUACACUGUACAAUUACUCCUAUCCAUGGUGGUGGCAGGGGCUGCUAGGGAGACAGAGAGUCAUUCAGCCUCCAAGCCAAUACGGAGUUUUGUUUUCGGUAUUUUUCCUAUCUUCUUGGCACUGCGGCACAUGCAGAUGUCGCUGUUGUUCUUUAUAAAGCCCUAAUGAUAUGCAAAAGCAUAACGAUUUGGUUUGGAUGCAAAGCAUCAACGAAAUAUUAUGGAUGUCUUUAAGAAAGGGGGAGAGAAAAUCCUGACUGAAGGAAUGUCCACAUAAAUUAUUUUUAUUUCAAUGUAUUCAAAGGAUGGGGUGAGGGCAAGUCAGACAGACGGAGUCGCAUGGAAAACAUGCAUAAUAUUAAUAUGCACAAAGAAUUCUCACCGAGGAAGAGAAGCUCCUAACUACAGCUCUUGGGACAAACUGGUUCGUUAGGAAAUAGCUUAGAGCAACUACAGCAUUUUGCGAUUUCAAUUUUUUCCUCUUAUUUUAAAUGAAGAAUCAGACAGAUGUGUUUUCUUUGCAUGGCAGCAUUGAGAUGGAUCCAGUCUGCAAAAUUUGCUGCCCAAAUAGCAUUUCUGAUGGAAACUGGAACUAAACAAGGGCACAGAUAAGGAAGGGAGGGGAGAAGAGAGAAUACAUGAAGAGUAUAUUCAGAGCCACUGCAUGACAUUUUUAGUACAGGUUUUCAGAAUCCAUCUUUGCUUCAGUAGUCUCCCUUGUGGACUCCUGAUAUAGGGAGCUAUCAGGGUAUAUCAAGAUGAGCACUGAAACAGGCCUUCCUAGGUCUGAGGCUAAGGAAAGCAGCAGCAACUUGGUGCCUGUCCCCCAGACCUGCCUACAGUUCAGAAGCCAAAAGCACAGCUACAUCUAAUUUGGGGAUGCAGUAGAGUGCCUACUGAUCCAGCAGACCUUCGGCCGGACGCGGUGGCUCAAGCCUGUAAUCCCAGCACUUUGGGAGGCCAAGGCUUCCUUGUCAUUAUCUCCUACAUUCUGAGAAGUCCUGAUGUUAUAAAGAUAUUAAAUAAAAGGUGUAAGUAUAGCUACAGCCCAAGCCAGCCCACCAAAAUUCAGAGGCCAGACCGUCCCAAGGAAACCAACCUGAAAGUAAUAAUGUUAAUAUUUGUUUAAUGUUUUAGAGAUUCUUAUUAUAUGUUUAAAAUUUAUUAAAGAUGAUUUAGACCAUUAGCCUUUAGAAUACUGCAUUAACGCACAUAUCUAUUUUUAUUAUUUAAUUCAUUAUACUGUAUUAAGAACUUGAUUAUAUUCUUCUAAAAAUAUUACCAUUAACUUGCAGAUAUCUACUAAUGUGUGAUCCUGUUUGUAGAUUAAUCAAGGCCCCUUGAUUUUCAUACUCCCCACGAGCUCUGGACAAAAAAAGAAAGUGGAAAAGUAGUAAAUCAAGAAAAUCUGUAGAAGGCUUUUAGAGAAGAGAUAAAUUCACAUAGAUAAAACAAUCUAACAAAAAUCUUCCUGACUACAAUUCUUUUUUGCCUGACUUUAGUAUCUUCUCACUGAAGUAUGAAUGGUCAAGUAGAAGAGGUAGAAAUACUGAUUACAGAGAUAGAGAUAAUACAGUACGGGUCAAAAGAAAAGUGUAAUAUUAUUUCCCAAAAUGCAACGCUUCUUUCAAGAUCACAUUUUCAUGCAUUUAUGUAUAAAAAAUAAUUAAGUUGAAUAGAAAAACAUUUGGUGUGUAAUAAUAAACUUUA